rnacentral:rRNA from 1 species
AGAGUUUGAUCCUGGCUCAGGAUGAACGCUAGCGACAGGCUUAACACAUGCAAGUCGAGGGGCAGCACAGGUAGCAAUACCGGGUGGCGACCGGCGCACGGGUGAGUAACGCGUAUGCAACUUACCUAUCAGAGGGGGAUAACCCGGCGAAAGUCGGACUAAUACCGCAUGAAGCAGGGGCCCCGCAUGGGGAUAUUUGCUAAAGAUUCAUCGCUGAUAGAUAGGCAUGCGUUCCAUUAGGCAGUUGGCGGGGUAACGGCCCACCAAACCGACGAUGGAUAGGGGUUCUGAGAGGAAGGUCCCCCACAUUGGUACUGAGACACGGACCAAACUCCUACGGGAGGCAGCAGUGAGGAAUAUUGGUCAAUGGGCGUAAGCCUGAACCAGCCAAGUCGCGUGAGGGAUGAAGGUUCUAUGGAUCGUAAACCUCUUUUAUAAGGGAAUAAAGUGCGGGACGUGUCCCGUUUUGUAUGUACCUUAUGAAUAAGGAUCGGCUAACUCCGUGCCAGCAGCCGCGGUAAUACGGAGGAUCCGAGCGUUAUCCGGAUUUAUUGGGUUUAAAGGGUGCGUAGGCGGCCUUUUAAGUCAGCGGUGAAAGUCUGUGGCUCAACCAUAGAAUUGCCGUUGAAACUGGGAGGCUUGAGUAUGUUUGAGGCAGGCGGAAUGCGUGGUGUAGCGGUGAAAUGCUUAGAUAUCACGCAGAACCCCGAUUGCGAAGGCAGCCUGCCAAGCCAUGACUGACGCUGAUGCACGAAAGCGUGGGGAUCAAACAGGAUUAGAUACCCUGGUAGUCCACGCAGUAAACGAUGAUCACUAGCUGUUUGCGAUACACUGUAAGCGGCACAGCGAAAGCGUUAAGUGAUCCACCUGGGGAGUACGCCGGCAACGGUGAAACUCAAAGGAAUUGACGGGGGCCCGCACAAGCGGAGGAACAUGUGGUUUAAUUCGAUGAUACGCGAGGAACCUUACCCGGGUUUGAACGCAUUCGGACCGAGGUGGAAACACCUUUUCUAGCAAUAGCCGUUUGCGAGGUGCUGCAUGGUUGUCGUCAGCUCGUGCCGUGAGGUGUCGGCUUAAGUGCCAUAACGAGCGCAACCCUUGCCACUAGUUACUAACAGGUAAAGCUGAGGACUCUGGUGGGACUGCCAGCGUAAGCUGCGAGGAAGGCGGGGAUGACGUCAAAUCAGCACGGCCCUUACAUCCGGGGCGACACACGUGUUACAAUGGCGUGGACAAAGGGAGGCCACCUGGCGACAGGGAGCGAAUCCCCAAACCACGUCUCAGUUCGGAUCGGAGUCUGCAACCCGACUCCGUGAAGCUGGAUUCGCUAGUAAUCGCGCAUCAGCCAUGGCGCGGUGAAUACGUUCCCGGGCCUUGUACACACCGCCCGUCAAGCCAUGGGAGCCGGGGGUACCUGAAGUCCGUAACCGAAAGGAUCGGCCUAGGGUAAAACUGGUGACUGGGGCUAAGUCGUAACAAGGUAACC